GCCCGGCUAGCUCAAUCGGUAGAGCGUGUGACUCUUAUCCAUUGAAAAAUGUUCUAGAUCAAUCACAAGGUUGCGGGUUCGACCCCCGCGUUGGGCU
rfam:Sclerotinia sclerotiorum 1980 scaffold_14 genomic scaffold, whole genome shotgun sequence.